CCUUGGCCCGUUCAUUAGUGCGGAAAUGAGAUUCAGAUUACAACCUCACCAAAAACACACUCAGUUGAACAGAAUAAAAUACAAGAAAUAAAGACACCGAGAAAUUUACGAGGUUCAGCAAAAAUCCUGCCUACGUCCCCGGAGAGAUAUUGCUCUUCACUAUGAGAAUAACAGUACAAGUACACAUGAGUUAAAUCGACAUAACCCAAUCCCAAAUCCCUUGUACACCCACUCAUAGAAUUUUCCCAAGACCCUCACUCUACCCCAAGAGUUCUUUCCCUAGAAUACUUUUCACUCUAGCUCUCUUGAUUUUCUCUCACCCAUGCCCAUGCUUUCCCAUGGGAGAGCCGAAUGCUCUCCCCACCUUGGUUGUUUUUCUGAUGCCCUCACUCUCCCUCGCCAAACACUCUCAAUAUAAGGCAAAGUCAUCAUCAUUAAGGCCAAGCCAUCAUGUCUUGCAUCAUCAUUAAAGCAAAAACAAACAUCAUCAUUAAAGUAAAAGCAAACAUCAUCAUUAUGUCUUUACUCAUGAUGUCCACCAAACUUUUGCUUUUACUUUGUCUGCAACUUUCAUGCAACCCACACCAUGUGAUAUUUCCACCAAAAGCAAACAUAGGUCACUUCAUUGUUGUUAACACAUGACUCAUAAUUACUCACAAAUGUAUGAGCCAAACACAACAAUCUCCACCUUGGCGAAUACACCAUGCAAAAAUCCUUGCACCCAUCACCAAAGCCCAUUGGCCUUACGUACCAGCAUGCACACUCUGAAUCCACCUCAUUGGUCCUGUUCCGAUUCAGUCACUGCCAAUGCAUGUGCAGCUGCUGCAAGCUAAAAAUCACAAUUUAGCUUCAGACAGGAUCUCGACACAUCCUCGUCUCCUCCAGCAGGUUUUCCUCCUCUUCAUUGUCUGCAACCUGGAAACUCGUCAGCGCGCCCGUUUCCAGCAACAACCCAUCGAGCCAGACAAAAUUCCUACACUUCCUCCUACCUCAGGAUCAUCUGAUCACCUGUGAAUCCUAUAGCUCCACCUGCUGCAAAACCCCUGCAACACUUGAGACUAAACAUCACCAGGAGAAGUGUUGCUUCGAGUACCUAGAGGACAUACUCAAAGUCUUCCGCCACAAACUUGCUACAACCCGGCCUUGCACUCGUAACACUGUGGACCCUUGCCUCCGGAACCGAAUCUGAACCUGUUGUCUCUCUCAGAUCCUCUUUCUAAUUUUCUUCCACGAUUCCAACCUUUAAUAACUUAAGCAGUCUUGUGCCCACUAUCAUCCAUGGUCUCCUUUGUGUAUCAUUCCACACCAAAGAAGCUUGCACAUGCUCCAAACUUACUGUAACUUUCCAUGCAGUAAAGUUUCAUAAGGUUCUCAUACGAAUCUGAAAGUGAGGGAAGAAGAAAGAGGCCUUUGUCUUCUUCCUCAACAUCAACUUUCGUAGUUGAUCUAAGCAUCCCUGAACAUAGCUUCCAUUUCUUCAGGCUUCCAUUACUCUCAUUUACCAAGAGUAAAACCGCCUCUCCCAUUAAACUGCUCAACUGAAAAUUCCAUGGUGAACAACAAAUCUGGACCUCCAACGAACCAAGCCUCCAACGAUGCUCUGAUACCAAUUGUUGUGCCUUGGCCCGUUCAUUAGUGCGGAAAUGAGAUUCAGAUUACAACCUCACCAAAAACACACUCAGUUGAACAGAAUAAAAUACAAGAAAUAAAGACACCGAGAAAUUUACGAGGUUCGGCAAAAAUCCUGCCUACGUCCCCGGAGAGAUAUUGCUCUUCACUAUGAGAAUAACAGUACAAGUACACAUGAGUUAAAUCGACAUAACCCAAUCCCAAAUCCCUUGUACACCCACUCAUAGAAUUUUCCCAAGACCCUCACUCUACCCCAAGAGUUCUUUCCCUAGAAUACUUUUCACUCUAGCUCUCUUGAUUUUCUCUCACCCAUGCCCAUGCUUUCCCAUGGGAGAGCCGAAUGCUCUCCCCACCUUGGUUGUUUUUCUGAUGCCCUCACUCUCCCUCGCCAAACACUCUCAAUAUAAGGCAA
rnacentral:lncRNA from 1 species